rnacentral:rRNA from 1 species
UACGUAGGGUGCGAGCGUUGUCCGGAAUUAUUGGGCGUAAAGAGCUCGUAGGCGGUUUGUCGCGUUGUUCGUGAAAACUCACAGCUCAACUGUGGGCGUGCGGGCGAUACGGGCAGACUAGAGUACUGCAGGGGAGACUGGAAUUCCUGGUGUAGCGGUGGAAUGCGCAGAUAUCAGGAGGAACACCGGUGGCGAAGGCGGCCCACUGGUCCGGUACUGACGCUGAGGUGCGAAAGCGUGGGGAGCAAACAGG